GUGCUUGCUUUGUCAGCACAUAUACUAAAAUUAGAUACAGAGAAGAUUAGCGUGGCCACUGUGCAAGGAUGACGUGCAAAUUUAUAAAGUAUUCCAUAUUUUU
ensembl:snRNA U6 U6 spliceosomal RNA